GGGGAUAUAGCUCAGUUGGUAGAGUGCUUGCCUUGCAUGCACAAGGCCCUGGGUUCAAUCCCCUGCACCA
rnacentral:tRNA from 1 species